CACGUAGGGGGCGAGCGUUGUCCGGAUUUAUUGGGCGUAAAGAGCUCGUAGGCGGUUUCGUAAGUCGGAUGUGAAAACUCCAGCUCAACUUGGAGACGCCAUUCGAUACUGCGAUGACUUGAGUCCGGUAGGGGAGUGUGGAAUUCCUGGUGUAGCGGUGAAAUGCGUAGAUAUCGGGAGGAACACCAGAGGCGAAGGCGGCGACCUGGACAGAUACUGACACUGAACUACGAAAGCGUGGGGAGCAAACAGGG
rnacentral:rRNA from 1 species